CGUAGGGGGCGAGCGUUGUCCGGAUUUAUUGGGCGUAAAGAGCUCGUAGGCGGUUUGGCAAGUCGGGUGUGAAAACUCCGGGCUCAACUCGGAGACGCCACUCGAUACUGCUAUGACUCGAGUCCGGUAGGGGAGUGCGGAAUUCCUGGUGUAGCGGUGAAAUGCGCAGAUAUCAGGAGGAACACCGGUGGCGAAGGCGGCACUCUGGGCCGGAACUGACGCUGAGGAGCGAAAGCGUGGGGAGCGAACAGGAUUAGAUACCCUGGUAGUCCACGCCGUAAACGUUGGGCACUAGGUGUGGGGCUCGAUCGACGGGCUCCGUGCCGUAGCUAACGCAUUAAGUGCCCCGCCUGGGAAGUACGGCCGCAAGGCUA
rnacentral:rRNA from 1 species